UUAUACAUAAUACACGAUAUGUAAUUCAAUAUAUUUGUGUCAAACUGUUAUAAAACUAUUUCAGGCUCUAUAUGAAUGCAUGACAUUGAAUGAGAAUUGUCCGAAUAAUCACUUAAAUACGGUGUUCUACAUGGGUUCAAUUAUGAUCGGACUGAAUUGGCAUUCGACCUACUUGCACUAUGCCUUGUUUAAUUAGCCAAAACAUCCAAUUCAACUCCAAAUAUCUUCAUUACACUUCCAAUAUUCCAAAUACACUAAAGCACCUCAAUGAGCUUAAUUGUGACUUAAUUCACUGUAAUCGAAAUUCAUUCCGAUUUCGAUAUCCGAUACAAUAAAUCAUCAAUUCCUAGCUAAAUAACAUGAUUUACAACCAAAUCCAUCAUCAACAUGCUCUAUGGAAAAUUCGACCAAAUGAGGGUGGUUGAAGAACAUGUGAUUUUCUUGCUUGUUUUUCCUUCCAAACAUCACAAAAUGACUAAAAACACUAGGAUAUUAUGAAAUCUAGCAAAAUUCAUAACCAAAACUUCUCUCUCUAGAUUUGGCCAGCAAAGGUUCCCUCUUGAAAACUUGAAUUUCAGCCAUGGAGAAUGAAAAAGAAUGCAUGGGAAAGGUAGAUCACAAGCUAAAAUAAAAAAUCUUACCUUUACUUGCUUGAUUCCUUGAAAUCCAACAAUUUCUCUUGGAUUUUUCCUUCCUAGGGUUUGUUCUUCUCUUUUUCUCUUUGUUCCCUUGCUUGGCCGGCC
rnacentral:lncRNA from 1 species